AUGAACGCUGGCGGCGUGCCUAAUACAUGCCAGUCGAGCGAACGGACGAGAAGCUUGCUUCUCUGAUGUUAGCGGCGGACGGGUGAGUAACACGUGGAUAACCUACCUAUAAGACUGGGAUAACUUCGGGAAACCGGAGCUAAUACCGGAUAAUAUUUUGAACCGCAUGGUUCAAAGGUGAAAGACGGUCUUGCUGUCACUUAUAGAUGGAUCCGCGCUGCAUUAGCUAGUUGGUAAGGUAACGGCUUACCAAGGCAACGAUGCAUAGCCGACCUGAGAGGGUGAUCGGCCACACUGGAACUGAGACACGGUCCAGACUCCUACGGGAGGCAGCAGUAGGGAAUCUUCCGCAAUGGGCGAAAGCCUGACGGAGCAACGCCGCGUGAGUGAUGAAGGUCUUCGGAUCGUAAAACUCUGUUAUUAGGGAAGAACAUAUGUGUAAGUAACUGUGCACAUCUUGACGGUACCUAAUCAGAAAGCCACGGCUAACUACGUG
rnacentral:rRNA from 1 species